UUCUGUUCCUUUUUCCUCUUCUCUGUCCUUUUCAAUUUCAAUAGAUUGAAUUAAGAGAGGAUUCAUAGAAAAUUAAUACUGAUGUGUUGAGGGAGAGAGUUGUUGAUGGAGCCAUAGUUGAUUGAACGCAGAACUGUGUUGAGUUAGGGAGAGUGUUCUAAGAAAAAUAUGAUGUUUUUACAGAUAAGAUUAACGUUUCAAUGAGAAUCGAUAAUGGAGAUAAAAUUUACGAAUCUGAGAUUUAGAGAAACGGAAUGGAAUCAGGGAUAGUUGAUGGUCAUGGUGUCGAUCCGUCUGUUGAUUCAAACUCAACAGAAAGGAGUUACGGUUAGUGAUUGCAUUUGGGUUCAGUGGCAUAAGUGAUAUCGAAGGUUUUGACUGUUCCAGUUUUCCAAUUAGAAGUGCUGGAGAAAUCUUGUCUUUCUCGACGGAAGGAUGGGUUGCACCAAAACUCCCUAGAAGGGCUGACAAGUUCAUGCUCUAUAUACUUAGUGCUGGGAAGAAAGCUCUGGCUGAUGGUGGGAUCUCGAAAGAGGUCAUGAAUGAACUGGAUAAAACUAGGCCAAUGUCUGUCAUGCUUAUCAAGUCCUGGAAAGAGGUGGAGUAAAAAAGGAAAUUACUGUCGUUUUCAUGUAUGAUGACAUCGUGCUCAAUGAGAAAACUCUAGGCCUGGUGUCAUUAUUAACCACCCUAAAGGUGAAGACGUUUAUGCUGGAGUGCCAAAGGAUUAUGUAGGGCGCUGUGUUACUGGUCACAACUUUUACUCAGUUCUCCUUGGAAACAAAACUGCUGUUAAAGGGGGUAGUUGAAAGGUUAUUGAUAGUGGUCCGAAUGAUCACAUCUUUAUCUUAAAAUUUGUUUUCUUAAUGCUUGUAAGGAAGAUCUAUACAUGAUGCAGUCGUUGUUCUCGCAGCUCAUGUGUAGCCGCUAAACUUUACAAAUAAUUUUUUGCCAAAUUGCUAAUGUUCCGAUUAACUUGCAAAACAGAAUCAUGAUGGAUUUGUUAUGGGAGAAGGAGCUGGAGUUCUACUUUUUGAAGAAUUAGACCAUGCGAAGAUAAUUUGUUGUUUCAUUUGAAAGUGUCAUUGUUGAAUUGCUAAUGUUUAUAGCAUCUGAUUUCUUUUGGCUGUGCAAUACAGAAAAGAGGAGCAACUAUCUAUGAUGAGUUUCUUGGCGAAAGCUUUACUUCUGAUGCUUAUCAUAUGACCGAGCCUCAUCCAGAAGGAAAAGGUGAUGUUCUUUGUAUAGAGAAGGCCUUAGAUGGAUCUGGGGUUUCCCAAGUCCAUGAUCGAUCACCUAUUAGGAGCAGCUGGUCUUGUGGAAGCUGUUGCGUUGGUGCUGUGGAAGCUGUUGCAGCUGGUGCCUUUUUUUUGUUUUCAUGCCAUCAGGUGUGUUUAAAGUUUGUCCCAAACUUUAUACAGGCACUUUAGAUGUUUUUAAGCUUAGUUACUACCUUUUUGAACUCUCUGGGUGUUGUUCUGUUGCCCAGAUUUCUGUUUCAAAAACAGUAAAACAUGCAUAUUACAUGCAUAUUUGUAAGUUUCAAUGGAAAACUUUGUUAUGAAUGCAAGUUUCUAUUAUUAAA